rnacentral:tRNA from 1 species
UAAAUAUCUAAAUUUUAAGUAUAUCAUUUACAAUGAUAAGAUGUUUUAAAAAAACUUUAUUUAAAUUUAUUUUAUUAAUAGUUUUAUAUGUAAAUAAAUUAA